UCCUGUUGAAAAUGUUGUCUGGGGAAUACACGUGGUCACUAGCUAUGGGGAUGCACUGAAGUGAUCUCUGGUGCACAGCUUCACUGCAUGUCCCUGUCCCCUUCUGUUGGGAUUAGGGACCUCUGUACCAGGGAAUGAGCACAGAGACAUUAUAUUGCCAGUGGAAAGGCUGUCUACCAGAGUGAUAUUUUGUAUUUGAAUUCCUUGUGAGCAGAGGCAGGAGGAGACAGAAUCUGACUGGCACCGUGCAGAGCAGAAACUUUGACAGCAAAGAACCUGAAAGUCCUGGUCCCAGACCUGGGAACUGAGCUUCUGGCACUGCUAGGUGGCCCAGCAGCCACAGAAAGCCACGGCACAACAACACAGCUUUUUCUGGCUACUGCAGGAGUAGAGGGGCUGGAGAAUAUUUUAAAAACUAAACCCUAAGAAUAUGAAAGUCUAGGCUUCAAGUGCUAGAACUGUUCAGUGUGUGUGUUCCUCCAUUGCUGACCUUCUACCUAUGACUACCUUCAGCCACUGAUCCAGAAAGUUUUAUUCAUGGGUUUGAGACCAGAGCUCCACGCAGUCCAGAGACCAGGCAAAGUGCAUCACAGCUUGCUCAGCAAGCAACCUAAGGGUGCAGAGAAGAGCCACACCAUCACCUGUAUUUAUCAGAAACCACUCCUGAUACCAUCUGCAGGGAAUGCUGGUACAGUGUGGAAGGCCAGUUUCCAUCAAAAUCAUGAUUUGGGUUCACUCAUUGAAAGAGCAAGAGGAGACCACAGCCAUAUCUGCUUAGGAGUUGCUCUAUGGUGCAGUCAGCAGCUUCUGGCAGACAAGUACCACACAGGGACAGUGUCCAGGAGCCAGGCCCAGGAGUGGGACAGCCCUGCUUCACUCUGCUGCAUGCUGUCCACACAUCAGAGGAAGAGUGAGAAGCUUAUUGGAGACCAUCCCAAACUCUGUUAACCCUGAACCAGCCAGAGAAUAUUUCAACUGUGCAGUAACUAUAGCUUGUCUUGCUUGAGGUUGAUCCACGAUAAAGUAAAAAAAAAAGUGUGCAAGAUGCUACGGAAUAAAAAAUGGC